rnacentral:misc_RNA from 1 species
AUUGUCAAUCAAAGCUACCAGUUUCAAACCAUUUUCAAGUAAAAAGAAAUCUGUAUAGCUACAAAGAUGGCAAUGGAUCUAACAUUGUUUUACAAGUAAUAUUUUCCUGUCUCCAUAUACCGCAAGCUUAUGAUUGGUCAGGAAUUAGAGUAGUAUAAAAUAAAAGGUAUCCUUAUCAAAUACACUGAAAAGAAGUGAAUUAUGUACGUUUGAGGUCCAAACUUCCCAGUCCAGAUUAACAUAGUUUUGAGCCCAUAACAA